GCUUUGCAUUCAGGAGAAAGUUUAAUACUGGAGAAAUAAUUUUAUAUACUGGAUAUCAUGAAAGGGACUGUGUAAAACCAUUAACAGGUCAUCUGUGGACAAGAAAGCAGAUGAAAAACUAAUGCUAAGCCACAAGAUAAAUAAUUUUAAGUAUUAAGAAGGAAAAUCAAAAUAGUUAAGCUAAAAGGGGAGAGAAUAUCUAGGAAGACAGAUAUCACGAUGAAAUCAAGGCAGGUGAAAAGUGAGGUGUAUUUCACAACCCAGGAAUCAAAUUCAUGUAGUUUCAGUGGAGUGGUAGAGGAAGAAAUACAGUGCAGUGAAUUCAAGACUCGCUGAGAGGCAGAAAAGUGAAAAAAGUGGGUGUAGAUUACUCUUGAGAGUCUAUGUCAAAGAAGAAGAAGGAAGUGGAAGCUGAAAUACGUUGAUCGUUUUGUCCGUUUUCCGGAAGGAGUGGACAGGACUGAACAUGUUUGCAGACUAGGGAUUCAGGGAGAGUAGGAAAGUACAGCAAAACCAGUGAGGAGAAUGAGAAAAGAAGUCAAUAAGAAGGUGUUGACUUACAUCAUUCAUAUAAAUGAUCAUGUACUUACAUGCUCAAGUAGAAAAAGAAAAAGGUCUGUAUUCAAAUAAGAAUUCAAAUCUUAACACACAGCUCUGCAUCUUUUAUUUUCUACAGUUUCCAUUAGUGUGUCCUGUUAUAAGAUGUAUAAUAUAUAUCAUUUCUAGGGCUCUCAUAAGUAUGGCAAAAAUCACACAAUACUCUUUGAUUUUUUAGAUUUUGUUUUAGCUUCUUCCCUCUUACCAUCUCUUACGCCUCAUCCCUCCUAUAUCUGACUCUCCAUGUUUCCAAAAUAUGCACAUUUCACAAAGGAAUGUAUUUCCCUUUUCUGGUACGGGCACAUAUUCUAUAGAAUGUUACAUUGCAAAUGCAAACUUUGGGAAAAAAUGAAGAGUCGGUAACUCUGAUAAACCAUAGAAAUAGGUUAGAAAACAGUAGAUCUAAUCUGUUUUCUGCCACUCCAUACUGACAAGAUGGACUAAGUUGGCAAUUACUGACUUAGAGAAAGUUGGGUUUAUCAAAUGCAGUAUCUAAAAGAGAAAAAAAAAAAUCUGUGUUUUCUUUGGUUUAUUUAUUCAAUGGCCAAAUAGUUACCAUAUAGUACUAAUUUAAUUUUUGCAGUUCUGUUACCAAGUAGAAUAAAAAUCCCAGUGAAUGAACAUAGAUGUUCAUUAAGUACAGGGAUGUUUGUGGAAUCUUCUUCUUUAGUUAAUUCUAGAUAAGCAAAAUUAUUUUACCUUAUAGUAUCAGGAGAGAUCUAAACUAUGAUUUUAUUGUUGGACAUUUUUAUUAUGAUUUUUUCCUUGGUAACCUCUACAUUUUUUAAUACUAUUGGAAGAGCUAAGUUGGAGCAUAUAAAACUGCAUUUACCAGUAUCGAGCUAUAAUGAUGUAAAAAGUUUUGAUUCAGUAGUCAUGUCAUAUUUGGUUAAUUGCCAGCAAUUGCCAUUAGUGAGAAGUGAAGCACCUACAAGAAGUACCAAAUCGGUAAGAGAAACAAAUCAAAGGGAGAUGAAAUGAUCCGUAAUGAGCAGAGAAAAAUCAAUAAGGGAAAAAAAGAGCCUCUCUCUUAAAAUGAAUGAAGAGACAGGCUGAUGUUUGAACUACAUUUGUUCCAUGUAAGUAGUCACUCUGAGCAGUAAAGCUUAGCCCAAAAAUACUUGUUGCUUGUUCAAUUCUCCUUGAUUGAGAGUCUAUUCUAAAACUGUAUACAUUGGUGUACUGAAUAAUACAUUGAAGAAUGUGUGUCCUAUUAAAAAAUCCUGUUUAAAGAGGAAAGCUUAAAGCAAGGUUACAGUUUAUAAAACCCUCUCGUAUACAAUAGUAAGCCACACACCUUAUUAUCAUUCUAGACUACACCACUUCUACUAGCCUAAUUAAGAUUGAAUAAAGAAUAGACUGAAUUUUCAGCCUAGAGUGUAGGUUCACCUUGGGGCUAACUUAAUUCGCUCUUCUGUCUUGAAGGAUAGAAAACUUUUCAGGAAAACAUCAAAGAAGAAUUCAUAAGUCCUCAAAGAGCUAAACUAUUUCGUGGAUCCCAGAAGGAUAAAUGGGAACUUUGAUGAGAAUGAAGAAUGUAGCAACUCAAAGUGAUGUCUUCUCAUAAAAUGAAAGAUGGAGAAAUCAAAAAAGAAGAAAAUAAGAGAAAUCUAUGUGUAUUGUUGCAAUGAUUUUUAAUUUGUCCAAAUAUUUUUCCAUAAAGUUUGCAAAGAUGUUUCCCAAACACAAAUGCAAGAACAAAGUGCAUCAAAUUGCUACAACCUUGGAAUCAUCUCUUUGAAAUGUAAUCAUUAGAGAAGAUAGCACUCCUAUAUCCCAGUUUCUGUGGGCAGGUAGGAGGAGCCCAACCUCGGUGGACUUGCAAAACUACCUCUGGUCAUGAAGGUAAGAAUUUAAUUUGCCUUUGGGUAAAUUCAGUUAACUAAUACAAUGAGUCAUCUCAAUUAUCAGGUGAAUUUAGAAUAAACUAUGUGUGACAAAUGGUGCUGUCAAGUCCUCUUACUUGAAACAAUAGUUACUGUUUACC